GCCAUUUGUAUAUCUUCAUCUGAGAACUGUGCGUUCAUCUCCGAUGCACAUUUUUGGAGAGGGUCUUUGAAUUUGGGGGGCUUGAUGUUUUUUAAUUCUUUAUAUGUUCUGGAUAUAAGUCCUUUGUCUGAGGGAUUGUUGGCUAAAAUUCUUUCCCAUUCUGUAGGUUUUCUUUUCACUUUGUUAGUGAUUUCUUUUGAUGUGCAAAAACUUUUUAGUAAUAUGAAAUCCUAGUUGUUGAUUCUUUGAAGUAUUUCCCAUGUGGUUUGCAUUUUAUUCAUGAAUUGUUUGCCUACCCCUAUGUCCCCAAGAUUUUUACCUACCUUGCCUUCCAGUAUAUUUAGUGUUUCUGUUUUAAUAUUUAGAUCCUGGAUCCAUUUUGACUUUAGUUUAGUGUAUGGUGAUAGGCAUGGGUCUAUUUUCAGUCUUCGGCAUGUGGAAAGCCAAUUUUUCCAACACCACUUAUUAAAAAGGCUGUCUUUUUUCCAGUGAACAUGUUUAGCCCCUUUGUCAAAUAUAAGGUAAGACUGAUAUUCUUGAUAUCUGUUUUCCAGAAGUUUGUAGAGGGGGCCUUUCCUCAGUGUGCCCAUGGUACCACUAGAACACACAUAGGCCAGAAGCACCAAGCCAGGCCACCCAGGGGUUACAGAGUCAGCCCUUCUCUCUAAGCCACGGUGGACCUGGAGUCAGGAAAACAGCAUCAGAAAAAGCUGUGACUAUGGAACUCCAGAGAAAAACAGCCUGACAUGGACUGCUGGUCGCAUCUCUGGAGACCUGCAGAGGGCAGGGGACAAUGACCUGCAUUUGGAGAAAAGCCUUAGGCUCUCCUCUGGCUCACAACUGAGAAGCGGCCUUGGGAAUGAUGAGACCACUUAGGGCCACAUGGCAGCACCAGUGUGGUCCAUACAGGGCUGCCCCAAAGAGUUAGUCCCUCUGGGAGAGUCUGUGCCUGGCCUUGUGACUCAGGCUUGGCUUUCAAUUGUCAGGAAGCUGUUUUGGGAUUCCCUCCAAAAUUUGUUUAUUUUGGAUGAGUGUCUUGGAUGACAUGUCUUAAAUAUAAAAAAUUACCCUUCUUAUCUCACACCACCAUUCUCCACAGUAUCAGCUUUAAACUCUGAAAUGGGAUUUUUCUUCUACAAAUAGGCAAAAUUGCCUGGAACUUUUUUUAGUAAAUAUGAUGAAACUUAAUGCUAGAUAAUAUAACUUUUGGUGAAAACCUAGAAAUAAGACUGGCUUCUAGACAGCUCCCAAACCUGCCCAGCAGACCCCAGAGACAUCAGCAUUGGGUGGGCUGGUAUUGGUGUGAGUGGGGUGUCCUGCAGGACCACACCUGAGAUCACACCAGCUGCCACUGCUGAUGGUGGAAUCUGAGUUAAAGAAACACACUGAUUCUAGCUGUGGAAACAAGGUCCAAGGUUUCCUACUACAGAAUGAUGCUCUUUUCUGAGAUUUCCAUAUUGUCACCGUGCAGCUGGUGACCCUCCCAGUCUUGGCCUGUCACAGAAAGUGGAACAGGUCUGCUUUGGAGUCUGGAAGAUUUCCAGGACCAGACAAUAGCUCCUUCACCCAGGAUCCUCGAAACUGGGCUCAGAUUACUCCCUGUCUUGAUACUAGGAAAUUUAUUUUUAGAUCAGAAAGACUGUAGGGAGGAGGAGGAGGAAAGAGGAGGGCUCAGUGGAGAAGCGCUGGUAAAUGGUUAGCAAUUGCCCCACUAGGAGAAAAGAAAAUUAUUUAGAAGAGGUAUGAUUGAAAUAUAUGGUGAAUAUUUGAAUAUUUAGGUUAUUACAGUAAAAGACUCGAUGCCAUUACCCACCCCCAUCUUCCUUUCUGUUUCAACACACUCAUCCCUCUACAAUAUAUUCUUGACUUUCUGAAGCAGUUCUAGAAGUUGCCUUUUAUGAUUGCCUUUGUGAUGUGUGAUAAGACAAAACAAAACAAACAGAAGAAACCACAGUGAAUGCUGCUGCCUAGCGCCAUCCAACAGAAAGGCAGGCUUGUAAAAACAGGAGGGUGUGUUCUCAUGAACAGUGUUCACUGGAUCUGGCACUGUGGGGCGUCUGGCUCUUCUCCAAAGUCCAAACAACCCCAGAAGGGAAACAUUUUGAAUUGAUUCAGGACAUGGAGGCAGCCAUGACAACACAACUAAAGACACGAAAAAGGACUUCCAGAACUGCUUCAGAAAGUGGCGACAACGAUGGGAUAAAUAUGUUUGAGCACUGCUCCUGCAAUAGUGCCAUCUUUUAAGCUUCUGUACAGUUGGACGGAUUGGAGUAGUGUUUAAUUCUACAUCAUUUCAUCAUGGCUGUGAUCAACAACUAGUUUGAAAAAUCAGCCCAAAGUCAACAAUUGAUUCCGCCAGCUGGUGUGAGCUGGCUGCAGCAUACUGGGGUGGUAUUCUAUUUGUCUGGGGAUUUGCGAGGCUCCUAAGGAGAGGGCUGGUGAUCAGACUGGUCCUGACAAGAAAGCCCAGGAAAGCUCCUGGACUUUGUUAUUUGGAUGCUGCAAGAACAGAGACUGAGCCUCGAGGGACUGGCGACUUUUUCAGAGAGCUGAGAGCAGCAGUGUGACUAUGGUCAGGGUGUCCUCCUCUGAAUACAGCAGUAGAAGGAACAGCACUCAGUGCCACUGUGUGGAUCGGACAACAGCGACAAAGUCAUCAGAAUGAGGAAGGUGGCAAGCAGAAUGUGGAGGAACGUGUGUGCCUGUGUACCUAUGUGUGCACACAAAUGUAGGAGAUCUCAGGUCCAUCCUGCGGUGGGGAUGACGUGCAGACAAUAAAAGGAUGCGGUGCAGCAUGCAUUCAGGAAGCUGGAGCCCAAGCUGGCUACAGAGAGCUGGCUGCAGAUGACACGAACCUCUGGAGCUGGGAGACAGCGCAGGGGAAUGGGAGGCAGUCUGGCUGAAAUGUCCAAGUGGAAGAUGCUCAUAUGAAACUGUUGAGCAACUGGGGAUCUGAUCAUAAGGACAAAGCACCAACGUAAAGGAAGAAAAAUGCCUCAAAGUUAAGGGGAAGAAAGAGCAUGGUAUGCAGCUACUCUUCCUGGGCACACUGUGGUUUUCAAUAGACAGCAUCAUAGAUCACAGAGGACACAAAGUCCAGCUUUGGACUUUACUACUCACUGUGAGACUCACCUUUAUGUCCACUGAAAUUCAGGCUGGUUUCUGACCAUUAGGCUGGAACCAGACCCUGAAAUACUGCAUUUGCCUGCGCUAGAUACAGCCAACAGUUGUCCUGAGUUCCAAGGUCAAUUGGCUCCCAGCCAUUUGCUCUCUUCUGGGGACAUCUGAAGCUGAAUAGCUCACCAGCCACUGCAGUCCACUGUGUCCACUGCUCUGUUCCACUGGCAAGCGGCGGCCACUUCAGGGGGAGAACCACCCAGCAUCUCCUGAGAUCUGCGCCAUGUUGGAACUUAGGGUGCUGGGAACCAAGCAACAAGCCCACCUCCCUGGUAAAUGGCUGUGGUGUGGCAAGCUGCGGCCUCCCUAAGGGGAGAACCACCCAGCGUCUCCUGAGAUCUGCGCCAUGUUGGAACUUAGGGCUCUGGGAAAUCAAACAAACAGCCUGCCUCUCUGGUAUGAGCCUACCACUGUGUGGGUUGAGAAUCAAACAUCCUAUCUGCAACCCCCCCCCACCUUAGCAAAUGGGAGCCAGAGAUCUGAGCAUCUGAGGUUGACCAUAUGCAAUAUAGCAAAGAGGGGGAUUUCCUUCUAUCAUCUGUUUGAAGGCAAAUAUUGUUAUCACUGUUUUGCUUUGUUCUGAUUAAUUGUAUUGCUCUAUUCAAUAUUCUGCGUUGUUAAGUUCUAUAAUAUUCUGUAUUUGAUUUGAUUUUGCUAUACCUGAUUGAAAGGACAACUAUUGUGAAGAUAAUGAGAUAUACUAUGGCACCUAUUACUGUUAUCCCAGUAAACUGUUAUGACAUUCUGUACCAAUUUCACUGCACUGUCUCAAUUGGCUAUGUUCUGUCUUGUUCUAUUAUAUUUCACUAUCUUCAAAAUAAUGAAAAAAAUGUGUAGGCAUGCUGGUUGACAGUUGCAAAUCCAUUCUUUCAUUCAUUGCCCUUAAGGCACCAACUACAUGAAGAAAUCCAUUUUGGGCCAGAUAGGUCAGCUCAUUUGUCAGCUGUGCAAAAUCCAGUGAUCUCAAUGCCAUAAUGAAUAGGAAAAAAUCACCCAACAGAGAUAUGCCUAAUUCUCCAACUGAAACACUGAUAAGGUCUAAUGAAAUGAUCAUAGUUGGUUAUACAAUAAUAGAGAUACGUCCCCAGGGAUAUAUUUUUGACUAAGAAGUUUUCUCAUUUGCAUAGUAAUGUUUCCUUAAAUUAAUUUUAGUAUUUGUUCCCAAAGCAUUAGUGAUUCUCAGUGUUCUUUGAGGACUAUACAGCACAUGUAUUUAGGGAGGGUCUAUGAAUUGCAUGAUUUUGGAUGUGAAGGUAGGUUCUUGGCCAUCUUUGGUAUUUUAAAUUAUCUGGCAUUCUUCAUGGCUUCUCUGGUUCCAGUUAGACCCUCCUGUGUCAUAAAGAUCACUUUAGAAAGUGCUACUUUAAGUUUUUCUCCUAGAGUCAAAGGUCAGAUCUAUCUAUUCCCUCUCUGCUUUCUUUCUCUCCAGUGACAAUAGAACUUUGGAGUGACUUGGGUGCUGUUCUUUCUCCAGUGCCAACAUUCAUCACGUUUAUAUUCCGGGCAGAUUAUUCACUUUUGAAGAGCAAAGCAGUGGUGCAUCCCCUUUUUGAACUGCAGGGGAAAAGGAAAACUCCGACUCACAUAGCUUAUCUAUGUGAAUCUCCAAAGCUUUGUAUCCAAGCUACUCUAUUUUUUUUUGUCAUUAUUAUUGUUGCUUAUAGUCUUGAAUUAUAUCUGGAAUGAUUUUUACUUUUAUGGUGAAAUACUACUGUAUUUAAUUGUCCAAAAUUCAUUGACAGGAUAAAAAUAAAGAAAAGCAAAUGUUUAAAUGUCAAAAACAAUGUAUUUAAAAUAUAAAUUUCCUACUACUCCAUUCUUAACGAUAUGUCACAAAUAUUGAUAUACAAAUGCUGCUGGAUUUAUGAUGGAUAUUGAUACACUCCAAUAACUCAUAAUAAAUUUUAAAAAUAUGUUAA